GUCUGUUUGAAGAUAUAAAAAGUCUGGCCUGCCCACUGAUUUAGAUAAUUGAAGGGCCGCGGUAUUGUGACCGUGCAAAGGUAGCAUAAUCAUUAGGUCUUUAAAUGGGAUCUUGUAUGAAUGGUUAGACAAAAGAAAAACUGUCUUUAUAGUAAGUUUGAAUUUAACUUUUAAGUGAGAAGGCUUAAAUAAUCUAAUGGGACGAGAAGACCCUAUAAAGCUUUAUAUUGAAAUUAUUUUUAAUUAAAUUUGAAGAAUAAUAAUUUAAUAUAAUUACAAUAUUAUGUUGGGGAGACAGAGGUAAAAUUUAUAGUAACUGCUUAUUAGUAAAACAAAUAUAGUUGGUUUAAUGAAGAUCUUAUUAUGUGGAUUUAAAGAUUAAGUUACUUUAGGGAUAACAGUGUUAUUUUUUUUGAGAGUUCAUAUCGAAAAAAGAGUUUGCAACCUCGAUGUUGAAUUAAAGUAUCUAUAUAGUGCAGAAGUUAUAUAUGAAGGUCUGUUCGACCUUUAAAAUUUUACAUGAUUUGAGUUCAGAUCGGCGUGAG
rnacentral:rRNA from 1 species